rnacentral:rRNA from 1 species
UACGUAGGGGGCAAGCGUUGUCCGGAUUUAUUGGGCGUAAAGAGCGUGUAGGCGGUUUGGUAGGUCCGCUGUGAAAACUCGAGGCUCAACCUCGAGACGCCGGUGGAAACCAUCAGGCUAGAGUCCGGAAGAGGAGAGUGGAAUUCCUGGUGUAGCGGUGAAAUGCGCAGAUAUCAGGAAGAACACCCGUGGCUAAGGCGGCUCUCUAGUACGGUACUGACGCUGAGACGCGAAAGCGUGGGAGCGAAGCAGG